UACGUAGGGUGCGAGCGUUGUCCGGAAUUAUUGGGCGUAAAGAGCUCGUAGGCGGUGUGUCACGUCGGCCGUGAAAACCUGCAGCUUAACUGUGGGCGUGCGGUCGAUACGGGCAUCACUGGAGUUCGGCAGGGGAGACUGGAAUUCCUGGUGUAGCGGUGAAAUGCGCAGAUAUCAGGAGGAACACCAGUGGCGAAGGCGGGUCUCUGGGCCGAUACUGACGCUGAGGAGCGAAAGCGUGGGGAGCAAACAGG
rnacentral:rRNA from 1 species